rnacentral:rRNA from 1 species
AGCGAACGCUGGCGGCAGGCCUAACACAUGCAAGUCGAACGAACCUUUCGGGGUUAGUGGCGGACGGGUGAGUAACACGUGGCAACGUGCCUUUAGGUUCGGAAUAACUCAGGGAAACUUGUGCUAAUACCGAAUGUGCCCUUCGGGGGAAAGAUUUAUCGCCUUUAGGGCGGCCCGCGUCUGAUUAGCUAGUUGGUUGAGGUAAUGGCUCACCAAGGCGACGAUCAGUAGCUGGUCUGAGAGGAUGAUCAGCCACAUUGGGACUGAGACACGGCCCAAACUCCUACGGGAGGCAGCAGUGGGGAAUCUUGCGCAAUGGGCGAAAGCCUAACGCAGCCAUGCCGCGUGAAUGAUGAAGGUCGUAGGAUUGUAAAAUUCUUUCACCGGCGACGAUAAUGACGGUACCCGGAGAAGAAGCCACGGCUAACUUCGUG